rnacentral:rRNA from 1 species
GACGAACGCUGGCGGCGUGCUUAACACAUGCAAGUCGAACGGAAAGGCCCUGCUUGCAGGGUACUCGAGUGGCGAACGGGUGAGUAACACGUGGGUGAUCUGCCCUGCACUUCGGGAUAAGCCUGGGAAACUGGGUCUAAUACCGGAUAGGAGCCAUUUUUAGUGUGAUGGUUGGAAAGUUUUUUCGGUGUAGGAUGAGCUCGCGGCCUAUCAGCUUGUUGGUGGGGUAAUGGCCUACCAAGGCGGCGACGGGUAGCCGGCCUGAGAGGGUGGACGGCCACAUUGGACUGAGAUACGGCCCAGACUCCUACGGGAGGCAGCAGUGGGGAAUAUUGCACAAUGGGCGCAAGCCUGAUGCAGCGACGCCGCGUGGGGGAUGACGGCCUUCGGGUUGUAAACUCCUUUCGCUAGGGACGAAGCUUUUUGUGACGGUACCUAGAUAAGAAGCACCGGCUAACUACGUG